rnacentral:lncRNA from 1 species
AUGGGCCGCUUGGACGACCACGCCAAGAGAAGGAUCGUGGAGCUGCGCAGGGCGGGGCUGAGUUUCCGCAAAAUCAAGAAGGUGCUGGAGCUGGACAACAUCCGAGUGACACCGCAGGCCGUGUAUCUCUUCCUCAAGAGGAAGAGUGUGGAGCUGGGGCCAGCAGCGGGUGGCUGGGGUGAAGAGCAGCCCUGGCCCCCACUGCAGGGGCACGAGGCUGAGCUACACCAGUCUCCAGGCCCCCAGCCCCCCACAUUGCCCAGUGUGGCUCCCGCUGGCGGCCAGGAUGGCAAGGAGGGCACCCAGAUCGUCAGCGUGGCCUCGUUCUGCCAGGGCAGCAGGCAGCCAGGGGGGGCCCUGCCUGUGGGACUGCCUCCUGGGAAGGGUGACAGCGGUUCCACGGGUGCCCUCCCGGCUCUGGGGAGCUGCCAAAUACCAGGGACCCCAUCUGCCCCCACACAGCCGCUGCCUGUCCAAGGGCGGCUCGUCGUGCCCCCUGCCAAGAACCCAGCCCUGAUGGCGAAGAAGAUGAUCGUGGACAGGGCUCUUCUCCCGCAGAACGAGGUCAAAGAUGCCAGCACACAGACCACCCCACUGAACCCCACAAGCCCUGGAAAUCAACACCUUGCUUGGGGCGAAGCAGUGCUUCCUCCUGCUCCUGGUUCCCACACCGCUGCUGAGAAGCUGGACGCUGUACACGCAGAGAUCCAGAAGCUGAGCCAGGCGCUGCACGCGGUGCUGGAGAGGCAGUGCCGCCUGGAGCGCCAGCAGGAGCACCAGCAGCGACUGCAGCAGGAGAUGCUGAUGAUGCUGCAGCAGCUGAGCUCCACCGUGAGCCACGGCGCUGUGCCAGCCAACCAGCCCUGUGUCCCCUUCAGCAGCGUGGCAGAGCCCUCGCCCACCGUGCCAAACUUCAGCCAGUUCAAGAUGGAGCUCAUCUGA